GACGGAAGGUGCAAGCGUUGCUCGGAAUCACUGGGCGUAAAGGGCGCGUAGGCGGACUCUUAAGUCAGGGGUGAAAUCCUGGAGCUCAACUCCAGAACUGCCCUUGAUACUGGGAGCCUUGAGUUCGGGAGAGGUGAGUGGAACUGCGAGUGUAGAGGUGAAAUUCGUAGAUAUUCGCAAGAACACCAGUGGCGAAGGCGGCUCACUGGCCCGAUACUGACGCUGAGGUGCGAAAGCGUGGGGAGCAAACAGG
rnacentral:rRNA from 1 species